GGGCGGGUCGAGUCUGAUCCGGGAGGAGGUGGGAAGGCUGGGGAUGCAUGAGAUUCUUAAUCUCUAAAUCGUGGGUUCGAGUCCCACCUUGCGCA